GGUCAAGCGAACAAGUGCAUGUGGUGGAUGCCUUGGCGAUCACAGGCGAUGAAGGACGCGGUAGCCUGCGAAAAGCCCCGGGGAGCUGGCAAACAAGCUUUGAUCCGGGGAUGUCCGAAUGGGGAAACCCACUCCGUAUGGAGUAUCCAUGACUGAAUACAUAGGUCAUGUGAAGCGAACGCGGUGAACUGAAACAUCUAAGUAACCGCAGGAAAAGAAAUCAACCGAGAUUCCCAAAGUAGUGGCGAGCGAAAUGGGAUGAGCCUUGUACUCUUUAUUUGUAUUGUUAGCCGAACGCUCUGGAAAGUGCGGCCAUAGCAGGUGAUAGCCCUGUAGGCGAAAACAGUAUGAAAGAACUAGGUGUACGACAAGUAGGGCGGGACACGUGAAAUCCUGUCUGAAGAUGGGGGGACCAUCCUCCAAGGCUAAAUACUCGUGAUCGACCGAUAGUGAACCAGUACCGUGAGGGAAAGGCGAAAAGAACCCCGGGAGGGGAGUGAAAUAGAUCCUGAAACCGCAUGCAUACAAACAGUCGGAGCCUCUUUAUGGGGUGACGGCGUACCUUUUGUAUAAUGGGUCAGCGACUUACGUUCAGUAGCAAGCUUAACCGUAUAGGGCAGGCGUAGCGAAAGCGAGUCCGAAUAGGGCGUUCAGUUGCUGGGCGUAGACCCGAAACCAGGUGAUCUAUCCAUGGCCAGGAUGAAGGUGCGGUAACACGUACUGGAGGUCCGAACCCACUAACGUUGAAAAGUUAGGGGAUGAGCUGUGGAUAGGGGUGAAAGGCUAAACAAACCUGGAAAUAGCUGGUUCUCUCCGAAAACUAUUUAGGUAGUGCCUCGUGUCUCACCUUCGGGGGUAGAGCACUGUCAUGGUUGGGGGGUCUAUUGCAGAUUACCCCGCCAUAGCAAACUCCGAAUACCGAAGAGUGCAAUCACGGGAGACAGACAUCGGGUGCUAACGUCCGGUGUCAAGAGGGAAACAACCCAGACCGCCAGCUAAGGUCCCCAAAUAUGGCUAAGUGGGAAACGAAGUGGGAAGGCUAAAACAGUCAGGAGGUUGGCUUAGAAGCAGCCACCCUUUAAAGAAAGCGUAAUAGCUCACUGAUCGAGUCGUCCUGCGCGGAAGAUGUAACGGGGCUAAGCCAUAUACCGAAGCUGCGGAUGCGUGCUUGCACGCAUGGUAGGAGAGCGUUCCGUAAGCCUGCGAAGGUG
rnacentral:rRNA from 1 species